CCCGACGCAAGCAGCUUCAACAGCGCCUCCUGUGCUGCCGACAAACCAGCCAGUUCCUUUCUCUCUGUCUCUCUCUCUCUCUCUCUAUCGUGCUUUCUCCCUCCUCUCCCCAUUACCUCCUCCACCUACAUUUUCGUCUCGAACGGCGUCGUUCUCCCUCUGCCGUAGCAUGCACCACUUCUACCCCUCUCUUCCUAUCGGUCUCCCCUUCGUCCCUCCUGUUUCUCUACUCUCCAACAACCCUCCUCCCUCGUGUACUACCUCAUCUCUCUAACGACUUGUUGUUAAUGUUGUAUCAACUCAACCUUGCAAACAGGCUCGCACGCGAACUCUAUACCUUCGUCGUCGUCGUCGUCGUCGUCGUCGUCGUCGUCUCCUCACCUAACGCCACGAGACGCCACUGUGUAUUUACUAUCGAUACGGAGGGUAGGGUAAAUCCAGAACGUCGAUCGCUUAGACGAUUCGUCACAAUGUCGCGGUGAUAAUAAACGGCAAAUCUGCAUGAUUUUGCUUUCCGUCGGAUUAGUUCCAGAAAAUCAGCGUCGGAAGGAA
rnacentral:lncRNA from 1 species